UCCAGCCAAGGUGACAGCUCAUAAAAGUUGGAAACUUGGAGUACUCUGCACAGCCUGCAGGCAGCUCAGCAGGCUGGAGAAUGUCCUUUCCAAGCUGUUCGAAAGGAGAGCCCAAAUCAAGUCCAACUCUUGUUUCCUCUGUAAUUGAUCCAACAUGCUGAAGAGAGCAAGCCCGGAAGAGGAAUUGCUGUGGAGGGAGAGACAGCCACUGUGCACAACUGAGCUACUGUGCACCUCCUGGGACACAGAGAUGUGCUUGCUUCUGCUUAAUAAUGGAAAAAGCCAUCUCAUCCACAGCUACGCUGGCUCACAUGAAGAAAUAUGGCUGGCAUAUGCCCCGUAAACAGCCCAGUCUUCUGCAACCGAGAGGAGCCGGCAGCACGCAUGACUAAUGGCCGUUUAAAGCCUCCUGAUGCACAGGGAUCAAAUUAAGACGCAGCGCUACGGCAGCACAACAAAUGCACAUAAAAUACACAAAUGUGACCAAUCCGCAGCAUCAACUAUCAAGACUUCAUCCUAAAAGGAGAAGACAUAAAAUAACCUGCUCGGAUGUACAUCCCAGGAUCCCUAGAGACUCUCUCCCGCCUUUUGCCUGGAAGAACCCGCUCAACCUUGCUCUUCCCACUGGCCACCAGGAGACGAUUUCCUGGUGUUUGAAGCAGACGGCUCCGACGGAGAUCUGAAAGUCCGCGUCUGUCCAUUUUGCUUUCAACCUCUGAAGGAAUCUUCUAUUUCUGACACUGCCUCAGGUCUGACCACAGGCCGCAGGGGGAAAGGGUCUGGCAGCUCUUCUGGACUGGUCACUGCGCAGCUGGAAGGACAGCGCUUAGACCAGCCAAUGUGGCUUUACUAAGUCGUGAUUCCAGCUCCUGGUGGGAAAGAGUCAGCUGAGCCCAAUACUUUGAUGCAAUCAAUCUUUUUCUCUUUUAUUGAAAAUAGAUUAUUUUCUCACAUAA